rnacentral:tRNA from 1 species
GGGCCCAUAGUCUAGUCCGGAUAGGACUGAUGGCUUCGAACCAUCUGACAGGGGUUCAAAUCCCCUUGGGCCCU